UAUAAAAUGUUGUUUAAGCAUAGAGAAUUUUGAUUUCUCAGGUAUUAGUUGAAUCUACUUUUUAUAG
rnacentral:tRNA from 1 species